rnacentral:rRNA from 1 species
AUUGAACGCUGGCGGCAGGCCUAACACAUGCAAGUCGAGCGGCAGCGGGAAAGUAGCUUGCUACUUUUGCCGGCGAGCGGCGGACGGGUGAGUAAUGCCUGGGAAAUUGCCCAGUCGAGGGGGAUAACAGUUGGAAACGACUGCUAAUACCGCAUACGCCCUACGGGGGAAAGCAGGGGACCUUCGGGCCCUGCGCGAUUGGAUAUGCCCAGGUGGAUUAGCUAGUUGGUGAGGUAAUGGCUCACCAAGGCGACGAUCCCUAGCUGGUCUGGGAGGAUAAUGAGCCAAACUGGAACGGAGACACGGUCCAGACUCCUACGGGGGGCAGCAGUGGGGAAUAUUGCACAAUGGGGGAACCCUGAUGCAGCCAUGCCGCGUGUGUGAAGAAGGCCUUCGGGUUGUAAAGCACUUUCAGCGAGGAGGAAAGGUUGAUGCCUAAUACGUAUCAACUGUGACGUUACUCGCAGAAGAAGCACCGGCUAACUCCGUGCCAGCCGCCGCCGUAA